CACUACUGAACCACGACGUCCACAAUAAGGAGAUGGAGAUCAUCGUCCCAGGGGGUUGACGAUAUAUCUAUGGAUAUUAUACUGACUGAUAGCCCAUGGUUCAUUUGAGCUCACUUUGGCACGAAUGCCGUGAUGAAGGAGAGAAAAAAGGAAAAAGUUGCUAUGGUUUUCCUUGCAGCUCAAUUUUCACCCUUCCCAGCGGCACGGACCUCCUACUGACGAUGCUGCGCGGCGACGGCCGCAGCCUUGGCCACCCCUCGUUGUCUCCCUGUGAAGGUGCCGGCGACGCACGGCGACCCCCGACAGGCGCCGUCACCGUCCGUCGCCGCGGAUUGCACCGCCGCCACCGUCCCCGUUUUUGCUCUUCGGAAAUGCAAAUCACCAAGCUGAUGACUAUUGUAACCCUGUUCGAAGGCCAUACUAGGAAUGCUUGAAGUAUAUUUUGAGUUUGCUAAAAACUCUUUCCAAUGGGUGUUAUUUCCGUGUGCUAGUUAGUACUACUAAACUUUCCCGCAUGUUGAUGCAUCCCACGUGCACAUCUUCAGCCUCCCUCAUGUGUGUUCUGUGUGUA